AAAACAGGAAUAACCUAACCAAGAUUGUGCACAGCUACAAAGUGCCAGAGAUGGGAUUUAAACUUUGGUCUAGGUGCGCGCCCACCGGGGGCCGGGGGAGUCCGGCCAGGCCGGCGACUCCGGAGGGCUCGGGGCGGCCCGGGUGUCGGACGCGAGCGGGGCCGCGGCGGCCGGAGCUCCCGGCGCAGGUUGAAAGCUACAGGUAGCAGCGGUGGAAGCUGGAAUAUUCUGAUGCUGGUUAUUUUUACUGACCUACAGCAACUCUAUGGCCUAAGCAUCACUGGCGGGGAAAACUCAACAUGUGGUGCCGAAACCCGGGAGGAGGUUGAGCCCUUGCCCGGCACAGAGACUCCCUCCUCCUCUUACGGGCCUCAACCCCCGCCGCCGACCUCGAGGAGGCUUACUUAGGGACCUGUCCUGGUUGGGCAGAAGCUUAUCCCACGGCCCGUGAGACUGCGGACGUCGUGGCCACCGUCCUUACAAACACAUCAUUCCCGGUUCCGGGCUGCCUCGAACCCUCCAGUCGGACAACGGGCCCGCCUUCAUAUCCAGCAUAACCCGGCAAGUGGCUGAAAGUCUCAGCAUCCCCUGGAAACUACACAUCCCUUACCAUCCGCAGGCAUCAGGCCCUCCUGAGAGCUCAUGUUGACUCAGUCACCCCGGCCCCGGACGACCUCGAGGACGAUGAGAUUCCUCCCCAGAAACUGCUCCCAGGGAAAAACGCCAACCCUCUGCACGUCGCCCUAUGCCCCGGGAAGGACCUUUUGGACCUCUGAGCUGUCUCAAACCUUUCGAUCCCCCUGCACUAAGUACCCUAAAUCUGGAAAGGUCUGCUGGACCUAUUUGGCCCAAAUAGGACUGUCUGAUGGGGGAGGGGUCCAGGACCAGGCCUCCCGCAACCACUCCCUCAAGAGAGUACAACACCUCCUGUACAAGCACAACCCGGAUAUAAAGGGAUCCAUCUCGACUCCUCACGGGGAGCACCCUCCAGCAAACCGCUCACCCUAACCCCCCUGAAUUCCAGUUACAACCUCUGGAAAAAUGUUUCUGGAGGACAAGAUUGCUGGAUCUGCUUUCCUUUUUCUUCCCUCACUAACAUCAUCGGGAUCCCGAUUCCUAAUCCUGGCCUAUACCCAAUUUCUCCAGUAAAACGGUCCACAUUGGAUCUAUCGGUGCUCCCGUACCGAUCCUGAACCUCAUCUCCACCCCUCAUACCACCACCACCAUCUCCACUCUCCCCUACUGCACCCCCUCGGGAAUCUUUCUCUCCUGCCCUACAGGACUCUUGUUGCUUAACCUCCAAUGACUCUUUAAACUGCACUCUCCUCCUCCUGUCUCCGACCACAAGCAUCUAUUCCUCUGAACAACUCUUCGUCUCAAGUAUUCCCUACCCCUCGGAGCAAAAGGGCUGUUUUUCUCCCCUUAGUAGGGGCAGGACUAACAACUGGGGUGGCAACUGGGGCGGCGGGACUGGGAACCUCCAUUAACUUCUUUAGGAGCUCUCCCAGGCACUCAACAAAGACAUGGAACGUAUAGCUGACUCCCUCACCGCCCUACAGACUCAAGUCACCAGCUUAGCUGCUGUUACCCUCAGAACUGACAGGCCCUGGACCUCCUCACCGCUGAAAAAGGGGGAACAUGCCUGUACCUGAACAAGGAGUGCUGCUAUUUUGUCAACCAGUCGGGCAUAGUCCCCUCCAAAGUCAAGGAGCUCAGAGAUCAGAUCCCAGCAAGGUGUCAAAAUGACCCUAUUUGGGGCUUAAACCCUCAAGCCUGGGUGACCUGGCCUCUCCCCUUGGCAGGGCCCCUCUGUAGACUCCUCCUGUUAACCUUAAUCGGUCCCUGCCUUAUACGUUAUGUACAAGAGCGCCUGCGACAAAUGACCAGAAUAUCAGUUAACCAACUCCUCCUACAGCCCUAUUCCCGCCUGCCCACUUCUGAUGGCCUCUAGGACAGGCGCCCCACUGCCUGCAGGAAGUAGCCAGAGCAAAGUCAACGCCCCCUGACACCAGUAUAUAAAAGAGGCCGGAAUGAUGGGCCGGCAGGGGAGUCGGGGCACCCAAAUGGUGGACCUUGCACCAACCCUCUCUAAGAUGACAGAUUUUCCCGCCACCCUCACAACGGGCCUUCUCGUCACCCAGGAACUUCGCGUUUAGGAAGUGCCAAUCACCUACUCCUCGCCCCGUGUGCCCUGAGCACUACGUACCUUACAUAUAUGAACUCGAACCCACGCCUUGGCGAUGAUCCGACACACGUCCCCUGCCCCAUGCUCACUAACUACCACAUACCUCACCUUUUUGGGGCACAAGCCAGGGCCCUACCCCGACCCAAUAAAAGAACAGCACCAAUUCCUUCCCA
rnacentral:lncRNA from 1 species